rnacentral:rRNA from 1 species
UACGUAGGGUGCAAGCGUUGUCCGGAAUUAUUGGGCGUAAAGGGCUCGUAGGCGGUCCAUCACGUCGGGAGUGAAAAGCUGGGGCUUAACCCCAGUCCUGCUUCCGAUACGGGUGGACUAGAGGUAGGCAGGGGAGAACGGAAUUCCUGGUGUAGCGGUGAAAUGCGUAGAUAUUGGGAAGAACACCGGUGGCGAAGGCGGCUACCUGGACCGGUACUGACGCUGAGGCGCGAAAGCCAGGGGAGCGAAUGGG